rnacentral:rRNA from 1 species
CUACCAAGACAGUGACGGUUGACGGGAAAUUAGGGUUUUGUACCGGAGAGGGAGCCUGAGAGAUUGCUCCCACGUCCAAGGACGGCAGCAGGCGCGAAAAUUGCCCACUCUUCGCAGGAGGCAGUUAUGAGACGUGGAGAUGAGUAUCUUGUAAAGAGGGAUAGGAGAAUUGGAGGGCAAGUUUGGUGCCAGCAGCCGCGGUAAUACCGACUCCAAGAGUGUGUAUGAGAGAUGCUGCAGUUAAAAAGUCCGUAGUCAUAGAAGGGCAAAGAGAGAUGCGAGGUCUCACAGUGCGAUGAUGGAGGAGCCGAUGGGGAACAUAGUAUACCAGGGCGAGAGAUGAAAUGCCAAGACCCCUGGUGGACUGAGCGAGGCGAAGGCGAUGUUCUUGUAGGCAUUCGGUGAUCAAGGACGAAGGCUGGAGUAUCGAAAGUGAUUAGAUACCGCAGUAGUUCCAGCAGUAAAAGAUGCC